AACGAACGCUGGCGGCAUGCCUAACACAUGCAAGUCGAACGAGACCUUCGGGUCUAGUGGCGCACGGGUGCGUAACGCGUGGGAACCUGCCCUUAGGUUCGGAAUAACUCUCCGAAAGGGGUGCUAAUACCGGAUAAUGUCUUCGGACAAAAGAUGGAUCGCCUUAGGAGGGGCCCGCGUUGGAUUAGCUAGUUGGUAGGGUAAAAGCCUACCAAGGCGACGAUACAUAGCUGGGCUGAGAGGAUGAUCAGCCACACUGGGACUGGGACACGGCACAGACUACUACGGGAGGGGGCAGUGGGGAAUAUUGGACAAUGGGCGAAGGGCUGAUCCAGCAAGGCCGCGUAAGUGAUGAAGGCCUGAGAGAUGAAAAGCUCUUUUACCCGGGAUGAUAAUGACAGUACCGAGAGAAUAAGCACCGGCUAACUCCGUG
rnacentral:rRNA from 1 species